rnacentral:rRNA from 1 species
AUACGGAGGACGCGAGCGUUAUCCGGAUUCAUUGGGUUUAAAGGGUGCGCAGGCGGCCGUGCAAGUCAGCGGUGAAAGCCCGGGGCUCAACCCCGGAAGUGCCGUUGAUACUGCAUGGCUGGAAUGCGGUCGAGGCGGGCGGGACGUGGCGGGUAGCGGGGAAAUGGGUAGAUAGGCCACAGAACGCCGAUAGCGGAGGCGGCUCGCGAGGCCUGCAUUGACGCUCGGGCACGAAAGCGUGGGGAUCGAACAGGAUUAGAUACCCUGGUAGUCCACGCCGUAAACGAUGGGCGCUCGUCGUCGGCGGCAGACAGUCGGCGGCCAAGCGAAAGCGAUAAGCGCCCCACCUGGGGAGUACGGUCGCAAGGCUGAAACUCAAAUGAAUUGGCGGGG